ACAGAGGGCGCUGAUGAAUUUCAAAAUGGUUCCCUCCCCUUUCCCUGCUGGAAGCUUGACGGGACUUUUCUCCAGUAUUUACUGGCUCUGCUCGAGCUCCUGCAGGUAAAUCUCACUAUAUUGUAGGAGCCCCCCCGUGACUGGGCUCCCCUGUGACUUGUCUGCCCUGAGCCUCCAGGAAUUCGUCAAUUACAGUUCAGCGUUUCCUUCCUGGAGCUGGCUCCCCCGCGGUUUCCCCUCCUUGAGAGUCUCAGCUCUGAUUUCCAAAGAUGUGUACCACUAAAACAGAAGUGUGAGGUACAAAACUGUGCUCAUGAGAGAGGAAAUCUGAUCACAGCCUUGAAAUUGUGUUGACUUCAAGCUCCUCAAAGCCUGGAUCUACCCCCGCUUUCUGCACUUUCCACUAUAGACAAGUGAGAGGUGGCAACUCUAGGGAAAUAAAUUUAUGGAUCACUUAACCUUUUGCCCAAGGAACAAAUCCAAGUCAGUUCUGAAUUAAUAUUGCUCUGAGGAUGCAAAGCGAGGUCUGGUUUUCAAUGCAAAGCUGAGGGUUAAGGCAACAAUCCAGCUUGUAUGAAGUAACAAACUGCCUACUACUUUGAAUCAGAGUUCUCCAAGGCCAGAAAAAUGACAGUCACCUAUGUCCCAUUGGAGACGGCACAGAUGCUGAUAUUCCUUCCUCACCUGAAGACCCCUGAUCUGGCUUCACCCAUAAAAUCUGCCUGUACUCAACAUCAGAAGGUGUGGAGAAUGCAUCAAAAAUUUUGUAGAUGGUUCUGAUUUCUACAUUACAUUCCAAAGCUUGCCAAAUAUGCUGUAAAUGUGAGGUUCUAGGCUCCUAUUCAAAUAAUAAAAUCUCUUGGGUGUUCCGAAAAUAUUUUACUCAAAAUGAAAAAUGUUGGCAGAAAAGAGGCAACCAUCUUUGGGAAUUAUGCCUUCCCGUAGCUCACACUCAAUGUAUGAAGAACUUGCCUAUGUGAAAGGGCAUCAUUGCUCUUUCAUACUUGGAAUAACUUUUCCAAAAGAAAAGCACCUCUUGAUUUUGCUAAGUUACCAAAGAUCCGGUUUGAUGCAGGAACUGUUAGAAAUUUAGCUUUGGCAUGCAUUUUCUUAAUAGUAACUGGGAAUUUUAAACUAUUUAGAAAUGGCCCCUGCUUUGCGCCUUCCUUUGAACUAUCCCCUGAACACACUGAGUAUUCUUUAAAACAUGUGAUAAUCAAUACUUUGAAAGGUACUGCUUCUUAGAAUUGUUGUCACUAAGCAUACCAAUUUUCUUGAAAAAAAAAGUGCCAUUCUACUUUCCCUUGCAAAGGGAAAAAGGGUAUUUACAGACACAGCAGUACCAAGAAUUCCCUUAUGAUCUGGAGGAAACUAGGAGUGAUUAUCCAUCCCAGUGGAUUCAGUAGCAAAUAGGGACCCUUUUCUGCUUAUUUACUGAAAUUGCCUUAAUAAAUUCUCCUCUGGAGAGUAAGAACCAAUUACACUAAUGUAGAUGUGGAACCAAUAAUUGACUUCACAUCAUGGAAAACAUCCACUGAAAAUGGUGAUGCAAAUAGUGGUGACCACGUUCAACUCACUGCUGUUGCCUGAUAUGUGCUGUGGUGUUUAUCAUUUCCACUCUGUGAUUUCAAGUCACAGCUACCAUGAAAAAAUGUUUUGUGGAUCCCGAGAGCCUCUGAGCCAUCUCAUGUUGGAAGUAUGCUCUGUUUUAACUUUGUUAUAUACUGGUCUAUCUCUAAAUUAGAAGUAAAUUAAACAAUGUAUAUGCCAGUAAAUUAUCUCUGGAAACUGACU